GCAGCCGCGGUAAUACGUAGGUGGCAAGCGUUAUCCGGAAUUACUGGGUGUAAAGGGUGUGUAGGCGGGAUGGUAAGUCAGAUGUGAAAAUUAUGGGCUCAACCCAUAACUUGCAUUUGAAACUGCCGUUCUUGAGGGUCGGAGAGGUAAGUGGAAUUCCCGGUGUAGCGGUGAAAUGCGUAGAUAUCGGGAGGAACAUCUGUGGCGAAGGCGACUUACUGGACGAUUACUGACGCUGAGACACGAAAGCGUGGGGAGCAAACAGGAUUAGAUACCCC
rnacentral:rRNA from 1 species